rnacentral:pre_miRNA from 1 species
CAUGCACCAGUGGGGUCCCUCGGCCUGGCCUGUGCCCUCUUGCAAUCUGGGACCUCUCGGGGAAAGUCGGAGAGCUGGUUUUGGCCUGAUCUCGCAGGCCAGGCUGAGGGACCCCUCUGGUGCACG